UCAAAUUCGAUGUCGUAUAUAUCAAAGAUUCGUUUUGCUGCAUAUUUCAUUAGAAGGAAUGUUCACCGUUGUUACUUUGAUCGAACAUCAGCAAUUUCGAGUGCUGACAGUUCCGACGUCCUGGAUUAAAGAUGGACUAUUAAUGUGGCCAACGAAACUGCCGAAUAAAAAAAUUAAUAAAAUGAGACGAGAGGGUACAGAGUAUCAUGGAUCUGUCAAAUCAAUACCAAUAAUAAUAAACCGCAAGUUCCGUAAUUUUAAGUCGGCUGAAGUGGAGGCCGAUAUAAUUUUAAAAAGUGAAUCGCUUAAGAAAAACAGCAACAAUGAACGUUCCGAAUAUCCGGAAAGAGAGAAAAAGUAUAACACGAUUUGCCAAGAUAUUAUAAAUUCUCGUGGCCCAAAAUCGUGCCUUCUGCAGCAUAAUAUUUACUCCUCGUCUCAAGAACCAUUAUCCACAAUUAACCAUGAAGAAAUUGCCUCGGAUUUACCAGGAACAUCUAAAAUGACGGAAGCGUCGCAACCAAGGGAUUGCUAAGAUGGCCGCCUUUUUGUAGCCAGCAUAGAAACUCAAGAGCAUAGAAAUCAUAACCUGAAAUUAAAAAUGAAGUGCUCCGCGCGGUCCUGUAGCAGUGAUUUUGAUUGCAAAUCGACAAGAAAGCUUCCAGAUGGGUAUCCAAACAUCGCUUGCCAAAGGAAACUAUCCAACUUAAUCAAAUAUUAACAUAUAUGACUCCAAACAGUAAACAAUAGGUGAGCCCCCUGAGCGUGAGCCCUGUUUUAUGCUGCCUACGCUCAAUUUGCAUUGGUUGGGAUAGGGUUGUCAGAGCCCCGGUCGCAACAGAUAACAUCAUUUUUCAAUAACGAAUCGUUUUGCAAAUCAUUCCUAACACCACCCUCCUCAAAAUCUUUCCAACAAAAUGAUUCCAAUGAUUCAAGUGAUUUAACGAAAUUGGAACAUGUAAUAGACGGAUUUGAGAAAAAACAAAGAACAAUUAUCUUCUGUAGAAGCAGCUGUUACAAAAUGUUUCGAACAAAAUUUUGCACGCUUGGCAUCUUUAAUGGAGAUUAAUAAGAAGACUGAACAAACUAAGCCUAAUAUAAAAAUAGGCUUGGAAAAAUGGAACUUGGUAACAAACGAAGAAGAACUUAUAGAGUUGAACGAUAAACUAGAUGAUUAUGAGCUCCGUACAAAUUAUCUUGAAUAUUUCUCAAAAGUUGUUUUGCCAAACUCCUAUGCAGGUAAAGGAGACGACGCAUGCUAUAUCAUCGUUGAUUGCCUUUUUUCACGUGAAUUUUGGAAUUGUUUUACGUGGACCGGAAUAAAUCGCGGGCAAAAGAAAUCCAGUCGAGGAUUCCGUCAAUUUGGAAAUGUUACAAAACUAUUAUUGGAUAUUGUUCAAAUUGGAGAUCCUCUGUACACGUUUCAAAAAUUAUAAGUUUUCUGUAAAACGCGAUUGUUCCGCACGAUCUUCAAAUAAACAACUUCGAAGGUCAGCUUGUCGUCGUAGAAAAAACACAACAGAGAAGGUUAACUGUAAAAGUUAUAACACUUCAGAUGAACGAAUCCACGGAAACUCUGCUAUCGAAGAUGAACAAACAGAGAAUGAUGAAUUCAUAGAUGAACAUUACGAAACCAUAUCAUUACUGAAUGAAGAUAUGUAUGAAGCUGUGAACAAUGAAAUAUUUGUGCCAACAAACAAUGGAGAAAAUUCGAACGAAGAAGAAUAUUUGGAUGAAAACUAUGACUUAUGCUACUGACCUCAACGUUCGGUUCGGUACGGCAUACUCGUUGGAAUAGUAUAAAAAAGGCCAUAUUAGCAAAAAUCGUUUUGUUAUGGAUAAAUUAUAAUUUAUUGUUUAAUGAUCUCUAAUAAUUAUAAGAUUUAUUCUAAUGUAUGUAAAAGAGGAAUAAAU